UUGUUUAGCAGAAAAAUUUGACUCCAUGUUAGUGAGCUUUUUUUGAAAAUAUGACACGUCUUCCUCUGAUGUUAACGUGGUUACACUUGAGGUAUUCUUAUCCUUUUUAUUCGAAGAUGACAAUUGCAAGGAGAGAAUUCCGUUUUCAUGUUCAAGGGCAGCCAGUUUGGACCGCACUUGCUUCAACUCAUUUAAAAGGUUGGAUUUUUGAGUUACUGAGUUAAUGUCGAGAAUCGGACUAUCAAGUAAACCACCGCGGACUAAUAGCCAGCUGGCAUUAGAAGGAGAACGAGGUGUCAAAGGUAAUGCUGAAGAAGCAGUUGAGCCUUCAGAAGAGCCUAAUUUCGCAUCAAUUGAAAGGUCACUGUGCCUACGCAUUCCCCUUACUUCUUGACGCUUUAACUCCUCUGAGGAAUCUUCAUGUUGACUUGAUGUGUCACCGUCUUCUGCAAGUUGUCCUGUUGAAGCUCUUGAAAUAUUGGGUCUUGGUGUUUCGAGAUCAGAAUCAAUAAAUGGUGAUGCAGCAGAGCUCACAAGACUACUCGCUGAUUCUUCAUCCAAAUCAGAAGUAUUCGAACCAGAAGACGACUGAUUCGACAUCUGUCGUUGGUAAAUAAACGAUUUGGGUUGUUUAGAAAUGACAACUCUCUGAAGCAACAAAGCAAUAGUGAUAAGGUAUCGGCAUGUUUUAUCGGUAUUUAGCUUU